CACAUGCUUCAGUGCUCUGAGAGUGUUUAUAGUGCUGUGAGUUUAACACUUCAUGACUGAGAGCAGAACAGAACACAAUCUUCAUCAUCACACAAGACAAAAGAACAACAAUGAACAAAAUCACCUUCUUCAUCUGGACUCUCACACUGUUUGUUCAAGAAUCCAGAGGAGUGACUCUGACUCAACCUGAAGUUAAAACUGUCCAACAGGGUCAAACAGCUACAAUAGAGUGUCAUAUAGAUGUAGGAAUACACAGCAACUACUUAGCCUGGUAUCAGCAGAAACCUGGAGAAGCUCCUAAACUCCUGAUUUAUUAUAUAAGCAGCCUCCAGUCAGGAACUCCAUCUAGAUUCAGUGGCAGUGGAUCUGGCAGUGAUUUCACUCUGACCAUCAGUGGAGUCCAGACUGAAGAUACAGGAGAUUAUUACUGUCUGAGUGUACACUGUCAUAUGUAUGUAAUGUCAAGAAAAACUUACUGUUAAAAAAAUUACAUUUCUUACUUCUGUAACUCUAGCAUAUAUUAGUUUGUAAGCAGCUCACGCUGUUGUAAAUCCUGCCCACUUCUUUGCAUUGUCACACAUGCUUCAGUGCUCUGAGAGUGUUUAUAGUGCUGUGAGUUUAACACUUCAUGACUGAGAGCAGAACAGAACACAAUCUUCAUCAUCACACAAGACAAAAGAACAACAAUGAACACAAUCACCUUCUUCAUCUGGACUCUCACACUGUUUAUUCAAGAAUCCAGAGGAGUGACUCUGACUCAACCUGAAGUUAAAACUGUCCAACAGGGUCAAACAGCUACAAUAGAGUGUCAUAUAGAUGUAGGAAUAUACAGCAGCUACUUAGCCUGGUAUCAGCAGAAACCUGGAGAAGCUCCUAAACUCCUGAUUUAUUAUAUAAACACCCUCCAGUCAGGAACUCCAUCUAGAUUCAGUGGCAGUGGAACAGCAAGUACUGGACGAGAUUUCACUCUGAC